GCCCACAUAGCUCAGUUGGUAGAGCACUUCCUUGGUAAGGAAGAGGUCACCGGUUCAAAUCCGGUUGUGGGCU
rnacentral:tRNA from 1 species